AUUGAACGCUGGCGGCAGGCCUAACACAUGCAAGUCGAGCGGAUGAGUGGAGCUUGCUCCAUGAUUCAGCGGCGGACGGGUGAGUAAUGCCUAGGAAUCUGCCUGGUAGUGGGGGACAACGUUUCGAAAGGAACGCUAAUACCGCAUACGUCCUACGGGAGAAAGCAGGGGACCUUCGGGCCUUGCGCUAUCAGAUGAGCCUAGGUCGGAUUAGCUAGUUGGUGGGGUAAAGGCCUACCAAGGCGACGAUCCGUAACUGGUCUGAGAGGAUGAUCAGUCACACUGGAACUGAGACACGGUCCAGACUCCUACGGGAGGCAGCAGUGGGGAAUAUUGGACAAUGGGCGAAAGCCUGAUCCAGCCAUGCCGCGUGUGUGAAGAAGGUCUUCGGAUUGUAAAGCACUUUAAGUUGGGAGGAAGGGCAGUAAGCUAAUACCUUGCUGUUUUGACGUUACCAACAGAAUAAGCACCGGCUAACUUCGUGCCAGCCGCCGCAGUAAUAC
rnacentral:rRNA from 1 species